AUACUUACCUGGACGGGGUCAAUGGGUGAUCAAAAAGGCCCAUGGCCUAGGUUAGUGACCUCCAUUGCACUUUAGGAGGGGUGCUGACUUAAGGUCUGCCCAAGUAGCAGAGCCUACGUCAUAAUUUGUGGUAGUGGGGGCCUGCGUUCGCGCGGCCCUCGU